rnacentral:lncRNA from 10 species
AUAGAGUGCGUCCCAACCGAUUCGCGGCCCCACCCCGGCAUCUGUGCCGGCCGGCCAGGGGGUCACCCAGAUUUUUAUGUUUUAAAAGAUUUAUUCAGGCCGGGCGCCGUGGCUCACGCCUGUAAUCCCGGCACUUUGGGAGGCCGAGGCGGGCGGAUCACCUGAGAUCAAGAGUUCGAGACCAGUCUGGCCAACAUGUUCAGAAUUCUAUCCUCUGAAAAACAAGAAGACAAGAAAAUGAUUUGAGGACAGCUUCAAUCGCGGUGUGAAGAAGAAAGCAACAAAACGACCACUGAAAACAAUGCCGGUGGCAAAACAUCCAAAGAAAGGGUCCCAAGUGGUACAUCGUCAUAGCUGGAAACAGUCAGAGCCACCAGCCAAUGAUCUUUUCAAUGCUGCGAAAGCUGCCAAAAGUGACAUGCAGUGUGGCCAUGAGGUCUGCCGGAAGUGACUUGUUGGUGUUAUCUCCUGAGUUAAAAUGUGAAGGGAUUUUUUUUUUUCAGAUUACUGAGAGUCUUCAGUUACUAGAUCCAGACACGGGGACUGCAGAGA